rnacentral:rRNA from 1 species
UACGGAGGGUCCAAGCGUUAUCCGGAAUCAUUGGGUUUAAAGGGUCCGUAGGCGGUUUUGUAAGUCAGUGGUGAAAGCCCAUCGCUCAACGGUGGAACGGCCAUUGAUACUGCAAAACUUGAAUUAUUGGGAAGUAACCAGAAUAUGUAGUGUAGCGGUGAAAUGCUUAGAUAUUACAUGGAAUACCAAUUGCGAAGGCAGGUUACUAUCAAUAUAUUGACGCUGAUGGACGAAAGCGUGGGGAGCGAACAGG